AUUGAACGCUGGCGGCAUGCCUUACACAUGCAAGUCGAACGGUAACAGGUCUUCGGAUGCUGACGAGUGGCGAACGGGUGAGUAAUACAUCGGAACGUGCCCGAGAGUGGGGGAUAACGAGGCGAAAGCUUUGCUAAUACCGCAUACGAUCUCAGGAUGAAAGCAGGGGACCGCAAGGCCUUGCGCUCACGGAGCGGCCGAUGGCAGAUUAGGUAGUUGGUGGGAUAAAAGCUUACCAAGCCGACGAUCUGUAGCUGGUCUGAGAGGACGACCAGCCACACUGGGACUGAGACACGGCCCAGACUCCUACGGGAGGCAGCAGUGGGGAAUUUUGGACAAUGGGCGCAAGCCUGAUCCAGCCAUGCCGCGUGCAGGAUGAAGGCCUUCGGGUUGUAAACUGCUUUUGUACGGAGCGAAAAGGCUCCCUCUAAUACGGGGGGCUCAUGACGGUACCGUAAGAAUAAGCACCGGCUAACUACGUGCCAGCCGCCGCCGUAAGAC
rnacentral:rRNA from 1 species